ACUUCUCCUUGCCCUUUCCCGUCGUACAUAGGAUGAAUGAAUGGAUAUAAUUAUGAGAAGGGUAAAAUUAAAGUGGGGGGUAAAGGUUGGGGUGCCAAAUUGCAUGACACAUAUGUGGGGGCAUUUCUGAAAAUAAAGCCAAUUAUAUUGCGGAUUCUCUUUCCUCUUCGGAUCGCUGUGACUGGUUUUCCCGUCAUGCUUGAGAUGCUGAGAUCUAGCCGGGGGUAGUCUCCAAUGGAUUCAAUGAUGUCUCGAGUCUUUUCGGGUUUCUUGCUCUGUUUAAAGUCCAAUGGAUGGAUAGCAGAAAGAAAGUGCGCUUGAUGGAUUGUUUGCGAGUUCUGUCAUCACAGGAUUAAACGAACUCAUGGAAGGCCGAUUCGUAACUUGCCAUUGAUUUUCCUGAAGUCCACAAGAAUGUAGAGCUAUCAGACAGGUUACCGUCACCAAACAGCAAGGAAUCGAUCCAGAUGAUGAACGUGAAUGAAAGUUCGACAACUGGGGCGGUACGGAUGCAGUAAAUAAGAAAGUAAAAGUAUCGAAGUCUCUCGGGGGGGGGGGAGGAUGUGUUGGCAAGUUGACCAUGGCAUUCAAAUGAUGACAAAGUGGGGCCCAAUGACCGACUCCUUUGCCUUUUUUUUUUUUCAUUGGUAACAGAAAACUUAAUUAGUCACCACUAACUCAUUUGUUUUUCAUUCACUUUUUUUUUGAAUUUAAUAUUCGGAAACUCAAUUGAUCAUGAUUAAUUAAGUUGAGUCAAAUCCGUCCACUAAAGUAUAAAAUUCUCACAACAUGGAUUUUCUGUA